CCUACGGGAGGCAGCAGUGAGGAAUAUUGGUCAAUGGCCGGAAGGCUGAACCAGCCAUGCCGCGUGAAGGUCAGUGCCCUAUGGGCGUUAAACUUCUUUUGUGCGGGAGCAAUAAUGGUCACGUGUGGCCAGACGAGAGUACCGUACGCAUAAGCAUCGGCUAACUCCGUGCCAGCAGCCGCGGUAAUACGUGGGUGCAAGGUGUAUCCGGAUUUAUUGGGUUUAAAGGGUGCGUAGGCUGGGAGGUAAGUCAGCGGUGAAAUGCCCCCGCGCAACGGGGUGAAGUGCAAUUGAUACUGCCUGGCUGGAAUGCGGAUGCCGUGGGAGGAAUGUGUGGUGUAGCGGUGAAAUGCAUAGAUAUCACACAGAACACCGAUUGCGAAGGCAUCUCACGAAUCCGCGAUUGACGCUGAUGCACGAAAGCGUGGGUAUCAAACAGGAUUAGAUACCCGAGUAGUC
rnacentral:rRNA from 1 species